rnacentral:pre_miRNA from 1 species
AAUAGAAUUGCUGGGUCAUAGGGUAACUCUAUGUUUAACUUUUUGAAGAACUGCCAAACCAUCUGCCAAAGUGACUGUACCAUUUUAUAUUCCCACCAGCAAU